UAGGGAAUCUUCCGCAAUGGGCGAAAGCCUGACGGAGCAACGCCGCGUGAGUGAUGAAGGUUUUCGGAUCGUAAAGCUCUGUUGCCAGGGAAGAACGUCCGGUAGAGUAACUGCUGCCGGAGUGACGGUACCUGAGAAGAAAGCCCCGGCUAACUACGUGCCAGCAGCCGCGGUAAUACGUAGGGGGCAAGCGUUGUCCGGAAUUAUUGGGCGUAAAGCGCGCGCAGGCGGCUAUUUAAGUCUGGUGUUUAAACCUUGGGCUCAACCUGGGGUCGCACUGGAAACUGGAUGGCUUGAGUACAGAAGAGGAAAGUGGAAUUCCACGUGUAGCGGUGAAAUGCGUAGAGAUGUGGAGGAACACCAGUGGCGAAGGCGACUUUCUGGGCUGUAACUGACGCUGAGGCGCGAAAGCGUGGGGAGCAAACAGGAUUAGAUACCCUGGUAGUCCACGCCGUAAACGAUGAGUGCUAGGUGUUAGGGGUUUCGAUACCCUUGGUGCCGAAGUUAACAC
rnacentral:rRNA from 1 species